rnacentral:rRNA from 1 species
AUUGAACGCUGGCGGCAGGCCUAACACAUGCACGUCGAAGGAGUGGCGGACGUGUGAGUAAUGUCUGGGAAACUGCCUGAUGGAGGGGGAUAACUAAUGGAAACGGUAGCUAAUACCGCAUACACUCAGUGGUGCCCAGAUGGGAUUAGCUAGUUGGUGGGGUAAUGGCUCACCAAGUCGACGAUCUCUCGCUGGUGUGAGAGGAUGACAUGCCAUACUGUGACUGAAACACGGUCCAUACACCAACGGUAGGAAGCAGUGGGGAAUCUUGCACAAUGUGCGCAAGCCUAAUGCAGCCAUGCCGCGUAUAUGAAAAGGGCCUUCGGGUUGGAGAAUACUUUCAGCGGGGAGGCGUUACCCGCAGGAGAAGCACCGGCUAACUCCGUGCCAGCAGACGCGGUAAUAG